rnacentral:rRNA from 1 species
AUGGAUGUAUUUAGAUGUAUUUUAGUUCUAGAUACAUCCAUUUUCAUCAAUUUUGAUGACAAGUAUUUUCGGACGGAGGGAGUAAAAAAAAGAACAGGCUUCAGCAACAAAUCCAGCAUGUAUUGUAUAUUGCCGAUCGAGGGCAGGGACACGAGCACAGAGGAAGAGAAGUCGGGAGAAAAUAAGAUCGCCAACUCUCUACGGCUAAACCAAGAACAAACGACUUCUCCGAUCACCAAAUCUUGGCGUGGACGGCAACAUCCUGUCCGGCGUCGCCGCCGUCGGCCUCGUCCCCGGCGAUCUGGUCGAGCACGAGGACGAUCCCCAUGGCGAAGGCCGCAUCGAAGCCGGCGCCCACCCGCAGCACGAACACGUCCCUGCCCAUCACCACCCGUGCCGCCUCGUCCACCUUCCUCCUGA